UUGAACGCUGGCGGCAGGCCUAACACAUGCAAGUCGAGCGGUUGAGAGUAGCUUGCUACUUGAUGCAGCGGCGGACGGGUGAGUAACGCGUGGGAAUCUGCCCAGUAGUGGGGGACAACAGCCGGAAACGGCUGCUAAUACCGCAUACGCCCUACGGGGGAAAGGGGGGGAUCUUCGGGCCUCUCGCUAUUGGAUGAGCCCGCGUCGGAUUAGCUAGUUGGUAGGGUAAAGGCCUACCAAGGCUACGAUCCGUAACUGGUCUGAGAGGAUGAUCAGUCACACUGGAACUGAGACACGGUCCAGACUCCUACGGGAGGCAGCAGUGGGGAAUAUUGGACAAUGGGGGAAACCCUGAUCCAGCCAUGCCGCGUGUGUGAAGAAGGCCUUAGGGUUGUAAAGCACUUUCAGUGGGGAGAAAGGUUUGUCACCUAAUACGUGAUGAAAUUGAUGUUACCCACAGAAGAAGCACCGGCUAACUCCGUGCCAGCAGCCGCCGUAAUAC
rnacentral:rRNA from 1 species